GAUGAACGCUGGCGGCGUGCCUAAUACAUGCAAGUCGAGCGAACAGACGAGGAGCUUGCUCCUCUGACGUUAGCGGCGGACGGGUGAGUAACACGUGGAUAACCUACCUAUAAGACUGGGAUAACUUCGGGAAACCGGAGCUAAUACCGGAUAAUAUAUUGAACCGCAUGGUUCAAUAGUGAAAGACGGCUUUGCUGUCACUUAUAUAUGGAUCCGCGCCGCAUUAGCUAGUUGGUAAGGUAACGGCUUACCAAGGCAACGAUGCGUAGCCGACCUGGGAGGGUGAUCGGCCACACUGGAACUGAGACACGGUCCAGCCUCCUACGGGAGGCAGCAGUAGGGAAUCUUACGCAAUGGGCGAAAGCCUGACGGAGCAACGCCGCGUGAGUGAUGAAGGUCUUCGGAUCGUAAAACUCUGUUAUUAGGGAAGAACAAAUGUGUAAGUAACUAUGCACGUCUUGACGGUACCUAAUCAGAAAGCCACGGCUAACUACGUG
rnacentral:rRNA from 1 species